rnacentral:piRNA from 1 species
UAACAAAAGUGAGUAUCCGUGGGACC